ACCUCUAGCCAGGGACGCGCGCUCGGUCCCCCGCCGUGCGCCCCCGGUCCCGCGCCCAGGCUCCCGCCCCUGGCCUCCUUACCAGCCACUUGUCGCCCAGCUGCGAACUGGAGCGGGAGGCGGCGGCCGGAGGGCCCAGGACAGCCCCGGGAGGGCGGCGAGGCGGAGCAGGAGCGCCCCGGCUCCGGCCACAUUCUCAGAGUCAGGAAAAGGGGCGAGAGGCCACAUGUCUCCCUCUCGCCCAACUGAAAACGAAACGGCGCUCCAGCAGAUUGGGUGGAAAGAGCUGGGUCUCUUUUCUCUGUUUUUCACGCUAGAAAGGGCUUGUAAACAUUGUUCCUUUUAAAAUGACCUACCCCAGGCAUUUGUUUGGGCACACUUCUGUCCUGGGGUCAUCGUUCCUAGGUGGCUUCGGACCUGGGACUUUUCCUGUAUCUGCACAUUGUCGUUUUAUACACAAUUGCCAAGGUGGGACUGCUUUCAACUUUACUGUGCUUGAAGCUGCAAAGCGGAUCCUGUUACAGUGCAAAGAAGAAAUGGCAAACGGAUAACAGCUACUGUGCCUAGAAGAUGGUUCUGCCCUGAUGUUUCCUGGAAUAAUGCUGAGGACUGCCUUUCGGGUAGCCGCCCUAUUCAGUUCACUUCAUCUCGGAAAUACCUGACCCCUGCCUUGGAUCCAGCGGCCCUCCUGAGAGCUGAGGAAGGAGGAAAUCCUAUGUGUCUGCUCCCGGAGCUGCCACAACCCAUCUUCCCACAACUCGGAACUUGGAAAAAGGAACCCAGGACACGACUUUGCUUUUCUUUUGGACCUAGUUGAAGUCACAGCUUGGAGGAAACCAGUUUGCACUAUUUGAUGAGGAAUUUGGCCACCAAACCACUGAUACUUUCCCAAAGAUACAAGUUAACAGGAUAUGCUUCUGGCCUGUUUCUGGAUUCUAAGGGUAGAACCAGCAUAAAACUAGUCAGUCCAAGUAUUUCUAAAGAUCCACAGACACAGUUCUCCUGGAUUUGGGAAGCCUAGAGAUAUUAGCACAAUAAUUAAGGCCCAACAACUUUUAAAAGCCUUUCCACUGCACAGUGAAAGAAAACCACAAACUCCUUGUUUAAUAAGUGGGAUCACGUGCUUUUAACACGAGGAAAAGGUCAAUCUGAAGCAACUGAUAUGGAACUGCCAGAGUAGGAGUUGAAAAUCUUCCUAAACUGCUGGAGGAUACACCUCUGAUAGCUUGAGACAAAUAUCCUCUUGAUCAUUGUUUCACCAUAUUUGUCUUUGCUCAUGGAGAACCAUUUUGAUCCGUGGUUUAGCCUCCCAGGUGAUUGAACAAUACCGGUGAUCUGAGGCAGACCCUCUGUGACGGAUAACAGGAAAGAAUAUUGAUUGAACAUCUACUCAAGAACUGCAAAACAGAGAUUACCUGACCUAAAGAUGAAUCCAGGAUUCGGUGGUGCCUGUUCCAGGAACCUUUAGUGUGAAGGAUCCUCCAGGUGAGAGAAGCCUUUAUGUCUUCUGAAAUGGUUCUGCUGUGUCCCCACCCAAAUCUUGUAUUGAAGCUCCCAUAAUUCCCGCGUGCUGUGGGAGGGACCCAGUGGGAGAUAAUUGAAUCAUGGAGGCAGUUUCCCCCAUACUGUUCUUGUGGUAGUGAAUAAAUCUCACCAGAUCUGAUGAUUUUAUAAGAGGUUUCCCCUUUCACUUGGCUCU
rnacentral:lncRNA from 1 species